rnacentral:rRNA from 1 species
UACGUAGGGGGCAAGCGUUGUCCGGAAUCAUUGGGCGUAAAGCGCGUGUAGGCGGCCCGGUAAGUCCGCUGUGAAAGUCGGGGGCUCAACCCUCGAAUGCCGGUGGAUACUGUCGGGCUAGAGUGCGGGAGAGGCGAGUGGAAUUCCUGGUGUAGCGGUGAAAUGCGCAGAUAUCAGGAGGAACACCAAUUGCGAAGGCAGCUCGCUGGAACGUAACUGACGCUGAGGAGCGAAAGCAUGGGGAGCGAACAGG